rnacentral:rRNA from 1 species
CAGCCGCCGCGGUAAUACGGGGGAUGCAAGUGUUAUCCGGAAUAAUUGGGCGUAAAGCGUCUGUAGGUGGUUUACCAAGUCUGUUGUUAAAAAUCAGGGCUCAACCCUGAUCCGGCAACAGAAACUAGUAGACUUGAGUACGGUAGGGGCAGAGGGAAUUCUCGGUGUAGUGGUGAAAUACGUAGAUAUCGAGAAGAACACCAAUAGCGAAAGCACUCUGCUGGGCCGAAACCGACAUUGAGAGACGAAAGCUAGGGGAGCAAAAGGGAUUAGAUACCCCGGUAGUCCCUGUCUCUUAUAC